UACGGGGGGAGCAAGCGUUGUUCGGAUUUACUGGGCGUAAAGGGCGCGUAGGCGGCGUGACAAGUCACUUGUGAAAUCUCCGGGCUUAACUCGGAACGGUCAAGUGAUACUGUCGUGCUAGAGUACAGAAGGGGCAACUGGAAUUCUCGGUGUAGCGGUGAAAUGCGUAGAUAUCGAGAGGAACACCUGCGGCGAAGGCGGCUUGCUGGGCCAGUUCUGACGCUGAGGAGCGAAAGCGUGGGGAGCGAACAGG
rnacentral:rRNA from 1 species